CAGGGAUUUAGAUACCGUGAGUAGUCCCAUCGCCCGUAAACGAUGAGUGCUAAGUGUUGGAGGGUUUCCGCCCUUCCAGUGCUGCAGCAAACGCAUUAAGCACUCCGCCUGGGGAGUACGACCGCAAGGUUGAAACUCAAAGGAAUUGACGGGGGCCCGCACAAGCGGUGGAGCAUGUGGUUUAAUUCGAAGCAACGCGAAGAACCUUACCAGGUCUUGACAUCCUUUGACCACUCUAGAGAUAGAGCUUUCCCUUCGGGGACAAAGUGACAGGUGGUGCAUGGUUGUCGUCAGCUCGUGUCGUGAGAUGUUGGGUUAAGUCCCGCAACGAGCGCAACCCUUAUUGUUAGUUGCCAUCAUUUAGUUGGGCACUCUAGCGAGACUGCCGGUGACAAACCGGAGGAAGGUGGGGAUGACGUCAUAUCAUCAUGCCCCUUAUGACCUGGGCUACACACGUGCUACAAUGGGAAGUACAACGAGUCGCUAGACCGCGAGGUCAUGCAAAUCUCUUAAAGCUUCUCUCAGUUCGGAUUGCAGGCUGCAACUCGCCUGCAUGAAGCCGGAAUCGCUAGUAAUCGCGGAUCAGCACGCCGCGGUGAAUACGUUCCCGGGCCUGGGUCACCCCCCCCCUCACACCGCGGGAGUUCUAACCCCCGGGGGGGCCUGCCCCCCCUCCCUACGAGAUGAGUUGAUCCCGGCUUCCGGCUGGACCAC
rnacentral:rRNA from 1 species